rnacentral:piRNA from 1 species
GGUGGGAGCCCUGGACUUCUCUCGGU